AAUAAGAUUGCAGUUGGAGCACUAAAGGAAAGCCUCUUCCAAAGCCUGAAGUACUUACAAGUACUGGAUGUUGAAGGGAACUUGGAAUUCAGCAAUGCUUCAAAGAAUGAGGAUGAUUCAGAAGAGGAAAUGGAAGAUGAGGAAGAGGAAGAAGAACUGAGAUAAAAUGUGAACUCACACAAGCCCACCGCAUGGAAGGAAAGCAUAUGGAAAACUACUUAUAUUUCUAUGUGUGUAUAUCUAUAUAGAUACACAGAGAACACUUAGCAAAACGUGCAGUGAAUCGCACCGAAGCGGCCCUGGCGCCGUUCCAGGCUCGUGGAAGACAGCAUGUUACAGUGCCGUAUUCCGGGAGAGACCCCAAAUGCCUUUCCAAAGCUUCCAGAUCAUCUUACUCAAGACCCAGGAUCAUAAGGGAUUGCCCGGGAACUCACAAAAGCUGGCUUUUGUUUCUCCUCUUUUCUCUUCUCUCACUGUUACCGUCUGUAAUAACACUAUGGGGCUGUUUGGCACACAUGCCUUCAAAUGC